GUGUCAGCCGCCGCGGUAAGACGAACCUGACAAACGUUAUUCGGAAUUACUGGGCUUAAAGGGUGCGUAGGCGGCGCGACAAGUUGGGUGUGAAAUCCCUCGGCUCAACCGAGGAACUGCGCUCAAUACUGUCGUGCUCGAGGGAGACAGAGGUGAGCGGAACUUAGGGUGGAGCGGUGAAAUGCGUUGAUAUCCUAAGGAACACCGGUAGCGAAAGCGGCUCACUGGGUCUUUUCUGACGCUGAGGCACGAAAGCUAGGGUAGCGAACGGGAUUAGAUACCCCGGUAGUCC
rnacentral:rRNA from 1 species